CAGGGAAUCUGCAAAUUAUUUCCAAGAAGAAAUGAAAGAGGUUGGGGGAUGGGGAGGUGAAGCUUCAGCAGCAUGAGCCCCUGGCCAGUCCGUGCUGUUUCCUCCCUCCAGACAGAGAUCUGCAUGGCAUACUCACCGGGAAAAUCAUACUCUUGCUUCCUGACCCCAUGGAAUUAAAAACCUGGGCUGCCAUGUUGGCAAGGAUUUUCAGUCUUGGUUACUGGGACACAGGAAGGAGACUGAAAUGGAGAAUAAGCACUGAACCCAGAGCUAGAAGACCUCAGUUCAAAGCACAACUUCAGCCUCUGCCAACUUUGUGACUGGACUAGUUAAUACAUUUCUGUAAAUACCUCAUAGCUUUAAAAAGGGAGGGGGUGAGUAAUAAUGCCUUCCAGGGGUGUCAUCCAGGAAAUCUUGUAAUCAAAAAUAAAUGGA